AUGGAUUGGCAUGAUUUCUCUUUUCACUUUGCCAGGGAUAAAAAUUGUGGAAAAACUACAGAAGUGAAAGCUCAGCCCUUGUACCAGUCUGGCAUCAUCUUUGGAUCAUCCAUUGGUAUAACCUGGGCCCAAGACAAAGUUACCAAGAAGGAAUGUUGUUUUUUGAAGAGGACCAAUGGCAUCAUGGCACAAGGCAGAGUCACACAAAGUCAUCAAAGGACUCACUCUCUUUUCCAGAGUCAUCCAAACCUGGUGGUAAGACAGAAGUCAGGAUGGCUGACUGGGAUGCAGUGGAUGACCUUGGCAUCUUCAGCAUUUGACCCAGCUUAGAAGACUGAAAUGAAGAAAAGAAGAAGAAGAACAACAACAACAACAAAGAAGAAGAAAAACAACAAGACAAAAGAAGAAAAACAAAAACAAGAAGAAGAAAGAAGGAUAAGAACAAGAAUGGGAAGAAGCAGGAGGAGGAGGAAGGAGGAAAAAGGAAGAAGGAAGAGUCAUAGGAGUUAUCUAAUACUAUUGUAAAGAUUUCAUUAAAUCUAUAUGCACUUGACUUGAUUGAAUUGGUUUGUGGAGUAGAACAGAGGGAAAAAAUUCAGAAGUAGUUUCAUUGUCAAAUCAUGUGAUUCACUUGAGAAGAGUUGAUAUUUUAAUAUUUUCAAGUAGGAAACUUAAAAUUUAAAGCCUCAACUUUCCCCAUCAGCAUUCAAUUGAACAAAACUACAUACAUGUUUUAAUAUAGCCAGUUAAUUGAUUUUGUUUGCUACUUGUAUGCUGAUGCCAUAGAAGGAUUUUUAUUUUGCAAGGUCCUUUAGGACAUUGCAAAAGCCAUUGGCUUUAAAUAUAUAUAUAAAAGGUUUGUUUUUUUUUUUGGCAAACAAAAUUUUGAUUGGAAAGAAAAAACUUCCCUGUCUUUGCACAGAUGGAGCUCCUAUAAUGUUUGGUAAUGCAUUUGGUUUUACAACUUUAAUGAAAAAAAAGAAAGCUCUUAACAUAGACAUCAUUCUUUGCUUUUUACACAAAAAUGUACUGGCAAACAAUGACUCUUCCAACAUGCUCCAAAGAUGGUUUGUCAACCAUAAAAAUCAUCAGAUCUCUGAAUAAUUACAAUUUUAAAAAAUUUUGUCUAGAAAUAAGCACUUUCCUACAGAAUUUUACUGGCUUCCACAAAGGACAAGUUUUGAAGUUCUUGUUCAAAAAAGGGGAGGGAUUUUACUUUUCCUCUAAGAAAAGGAAAACCCAAUUGUGGAAGAAAGGAUUAUUUUUUUAUUUAUAAUAUUUUUCCAUGGUUACAUGAUUCAUGAUUUUUCUACCCCUCCUUCAUCCCCCCUCCUGAACAUUAAAAUUGAAUCAGAGAUUCAAAAUCCUUAUCAUUCGAUAUAAACUAUAUCAAAGAUGUAACUUGGCCAACAAAGAAUUCAUUGAUCUUAGGACAAAAAUAAUGACUAUGAUUAGAAUUUAACUCCAAAACCUGGUAGAAUCCAGGUGCUUUUUUGGAGAAGCCUAUCUUUCUCACCUUGCAAAGUAAGUUGUGGAAAUUUGGUUUUCAUUUUUAAAAACACAUUUUGUUGAAUAGGGUUUCUCAACAUUUGGAACCAUCAAAAUAAAAAAAAAAUAGAAGGUGCUCA
ensembl:lncRNA